UCAGGAUGAACGCUAGCUACAGGCUUAACACAUGCAAGUCGAGGGGCAGCAUUGGAGUAGCAAUACUCAGAUGGCGACCGGCGCACGGGUGAGUAACACGUAUCCAACCUGCCGCUUACUCGGGGAUAGCCUUUCGAAAGAAAGAUUAAUACCCGAUGGUAUAAAGAGUUCGCAUGUUCUCUUUAUUAAAGAAUUUCGGUAAGCGAUGGGGAUGCGUUCCAUUAGAUAGUUGGCGGGGUAACGGCCCACCAAGUCUACGAUGGAUAGGGGUUCUGAGAGGAAGGUCCCCCACAUUGGAACUGAGACACGGUCCAAACUCCUACGGGAGGCAGCAGUGAGGAAUAUUGGUCAAUGGACGAGAGUCUGAACCAGCCAAAAGUAGCGUGAAGGAUGACUGCCCUAUGGGUUGUAAACUUCUUUUAUAAGGGAAUAAAGUGAGGGACGUGUCCCUUUUUGUAUGUACCUUAUGAAUAAGGAUCGGCUAACUCCGUGCCAGCCGCCGC
rnacentral:rRNA from 1 species